UUCUUAUAUACGUCUUAAAGACAUCUUUAAAAAGACAAGAAAAUAUUUGCUUGGUUUCGUAUGACGUCUUUAGUGCGUCAAUCUUUUACUUUCGGUAUAAUAUUUUAAAUAGCACUCUUUAAAACGUCUUAAAAACGUCUUCAGUAAGACUGCAUUGGCGUGAUAAUAUUUCGUGUCUCAUAAACUUAAUAAGCUUUUUUAUAAAGUUUAAAAGUUUUCUUUGACUUACGUUGGAUUUCUAAACUUCGACUUAUAUAUCUUUUUUAACAUUAUUCAAUGAAACUGAAAAUCGAAUGAAGCGUCGUCGCCUGAAUAAAAGUAUGUUAGAUUUUAUAAUGACGCAACAUGAAGUUAUCGAUAUUAGCACUAAUAUGAAUCGUGAACGUAAUGCUUCUUAUGAGCAUGAAACACCUUGUGAAGCCCCUGCUAAUAUUCAAGAAGAAAGUGCAUUAAAACAUUCAAAAAAUUUUGAAUGUUUUAAUGCACCAACACUAUUGAAAACAGAAACAUUAUCACAAGGUUUGGCAAAGUGGUCGUCAAAAAGUAACAUUUCUCAAAGUAAUUUAAAGGAACUUUUGAAUAUUCUCAGAAGGCAUGGUCAUUCAGAGUUGCCAAAAGAUGGAAGAUCCCUUUUAAAAUCCUCUAAAGUUUUUACAGGUGAUAGGAAGUGUGGCGGAACUUAUGCAUAUUUUACCAUUGCUGAUGGCUUAAAUUAUUUUUUGAAUACCAAUAAAGAUUCUCAAAAUACUGAAUUAUCUGUUGCUGUUAAUGUUAAUGGACUACCUCUUUUUAAAUCUUCUAAUCUUCAACUAUGGCCAAUACUUGGUUUAAUAGAGAACUAUAUUUUUAUAAUUGCACUUUUCUGUGAAAAUGUUUUCAACCAUCAUGAUUUGGGCAAGUACUGUAUGGAUAGAAAAUUAUGAGGAAAUAGAAGAUGUUGUGCCAAGAAGGUGGAUAAAUACAGAAAAAAAAAUACUAUUUUGGCCUUCUGGUAUAUCUUAUCAUAGAGCUGUCAAUGAUGAAAUGGAUGCAGAUGAAACAUGGGACAAAUAUAAACUUAUCAAAAUCAAAUUUGAGAGUGAUAAUAUAAAUGAGCUAAAAGAAUAUGGUUACACAACAGCAGCAUAGGAGGAGGAUGAAAUAGAUAAUUGUUUUAUAAGUUCCAAAGGCACAUUUAAAGUGAAAAGUAAUGUUUAUGGUAUAAUUAAAAAUUUGCUUACAAUUUAUUUUUAAUAUCAAAUGUAAAUACAAUAACAAGAAUUAAUUAUAUAGAUAUUAUAUUUUAAAGUUACUAGAUUUUCUGUUGCCUCCACCAGUUUUGCAAUCCAUACCAACAAAAUCAUUAAAGAGAUCAUUUGAUUUUAAUUUGUCACCUGGAUCAAUUAUUUUAAAACAAUCAAAUAUUUGUUCUGCUUUGCCUGACUCUUUACCUUUACACACUGAGGAACAAUCAACUUCGUAUUCUGAGUCACUGUCUUUGCCUAACUUCUUUUACCUUCAAAAUCAACUGAAAAGGAACAAUCAAAUUUUUUUACAGGUGAAACCCUCAUACUCAAGAGUUCAAAAAAAUAAGAAAACAAAAGAAGAAGUACAAAAAAAAACUAUGAUUGAAGUCCUUGGACCAGAGAAAAUACCAGCAUAUGAUGUUCAAGAUGGUAUCAAAAAUUCUUGAAAAUCAGGAGCUAAUUAUUGCUGUAAAUAAACAACCCCAUAGUAAUUUGACAGUUAAGCAAUUAGAGACUAUAGCAGAAUACAAAGAUUUUCUCAAAUAUUUAGAGGAUGAUUCAGUUCGCCUUGGUUUGGUUAAACAACUGAGUUUUUUAGGCGCAAAAGAUUAUAAACAGCUGAUAAGAUUGGUUAUGAAUAGAUUAUUUACAAAUACCCUAUUGGCGCAGUUUAAUUUAAAAGGUUCUGGUGGAAAAAUUGGUUUAUUAUCAACGAAGCUAUAUGAUGUAUUAGAAGAAUUAAAAGAGUACUGUAGGCAAAGCACCAUCAACCUGUUGGGCGAUGAACUAAUCCAUUACUUUAUUUAAUACCUAACCCAGUGGACACGGACGUAAAAAAGACGUCUUUUAAACGUCGUAUACACGUUUUGGACGUCUUUUGGACGUUCAAAAGACGUCUUUUUUUGGUCCGGUGCACACUGGGAAAAAAAGGUCUUUUUUCAGAUAUAUAAUAAAGUAGUGGAUAAAAGGCAAAACUUAUUACGGAUAUUUUAAGCGUUCAGAAAAUAUGACUUGGAUAACUUUAA